rfam:Felis catus isolate Cinnamon breed Abyssinian chromosome B4, whole genome shotgun sequence.
GCCUGGCUGGCUCAGUCGGUAGAGUAUGUGACUCUUGUUCUUGGGAUUGUGAGUUUGAGCCCCACGUUGGGUG